rnacentral:ribozyme from 13 species
UCUUUCCUUUCCUUUUCUAUUUUCUACUCCUUUCCUUUCUUUUUCUCUCUCUUAAUUUAUCUAAUUUAGUAUAAAGAUUGCUGUCCUCCACAUAAACGUAAAGAUCUUGAGGCUCUAAUUAAGAAAUGCGGUGGCGACGAAAAAAAAAU